ensembl:lncRNA
GCCUCGUCUCACAUAAUUUUCCCCGUUCAUUCUCAGUUACCUCAAACUAAAACCAUUGCAUGCUUUAGUGGGGCUGUUAAAAGUCAAUGGGCUCAGUGGAGGCUUCUACUUGAACUUCAACUGCUUGUGUCACUUUAGAAAAAUUAGCAUUUUAUACACACUUUAAUGUUAUAUUUCAUAAUAUUUGUAUUGUUUUAUUUUUGUACUGUGGAUUAUUUUCAUUGUCACUGAAGUCAUUGGAGAAAACAGCCUUGCCAUGCUGUAUAUAUAUAUACAGUUACUCAUAUAGUGAGUCUCUCCCCUAGUCCCCGUGGUUAAUCAAAAUCUUUUUUUGUUUAUUUAUUUAUUUUUUUUUCAGGAGAACAAGUAUCCAUCUAUACAUUUCCCAAACCAUUUAUCCAAUGUAAUGUUGCGGGAAAGAAAAUACCUGUUUAAUUAUUUGGUAUGUAUUACUAAUAAAUUACUUUGAGAUGUGUCCUACUUUCCAGCACAGACUGAGAGAAUAAGAAAAACCCAAGUCACUGGAGCAGGACCCGGGAGCACUGCGGACGGUGAUUCGCAUUGGGAUUGCUCCAGGCACAGUCAUCACCUGAGGCUACGACAGCGAGAGAGUCUCACUAGAGACUGGCUUCAGUUUCAUCACACUCAGAAACUCCAAAGGGUUCAUGUUCCAGAGGGACAAUGAUCCCAGAGGACCGCUCGCAGCAGCAACCUCAACUCAAACCUUAAACUCUUCCUUUUUUACUUUUCCUCUGCAUCAGCGUAGCGCCAUUUUGGAGAGUAUCCACGUCCAGCUCCACACUGAUGCAGAGGAGACAAAUUGUUCUUUUUUUUGUUUUCUUUGUGAACAAAAAGUAUUCUUGUUUCUUCCUAAAAUUCAGAUUGAACCACUGGUAGCUGUUUUGGACUGUUUUAACGAUGUCUUUCAUACUUUUCUGGACCUUGACACUGUUAUUUACUUGGAAGUCUAUGGGACAGUCACAAGCCUCUCUGUUUUCAUCCAAAAUAUCUUAAAUUGUGUUCUGAAGAUGAACAAAGCUUUUACGGGUUUGGAACGACAUGGGGGUAAGUGAUUAAUGACAAAAUUUUCAUUUUGGGGUAGAAUAAACCUUUAAUGAUGAACUUAUCA